GACGAACGCUGGCGGCGUGCUUAACACAUGCAAGUCGAACGAUGAACCCGGAGCUUGCUCUGGGGGAUUAGUGGCGAACGGGUGAGUAACACGUGAGUAACCUGCCCUGGACUCUGGGAUAAGCGUUGGAAACGACGUCUAAUACCGGAUAGGACCUUGGAUCGCAUGAUCUGGGGUGGAAAGUUUUUUCGGUCUGGGAUGGACUCGCGGCCUAUCAGCUUGUUGGUGAGGUAAUGGCUCACCAAGGCGUCGACGGGUAGCCGGCCUGAGAGGGUGACCGGCCACACUGGGACUGAGACACGGCCCAGACUCCUACGGGAGGCAGCAGUGGGGAAUAUUGCACAAUGGGCGAAAGCCUGAUGCAGCAACGCCGCGUGCGGGAUGACGGCCUUCGGGUUGUAAACCGCCUUUAGUAGGGAAGAAGGGCUUCGGCUUGACGGUACCUGCAGAAAAAGGACCGGCUAACUACGU
rnacentral:rRNA from 1 species